rnacentral:rRNA from 1 species
CCUACGGGGCGCUGCAGUCGAGAAUCAUUCACAAUGGGGGAAACCCUGAUGGUGCGACGCCGCGUGGGGGAAUGAAGGUCUUCGGAUUGUAAACCCCUGUCAUGUGGGAGCAAAUUAAAAAGAUAGUACCACAAGAGGAAGAGACGGCUAACUCUGUGCCAGCAGCCGCGGUAAUACAGAGGUCUCAAGCGUUGUUCGGAAUCACUGGGCGUAAGGCGUGCGUAGGCUGUUUCGUAAGUCGUGUGUGAAAGGCGCGGGCUCAACCCGCGGACGGCACAUGAUACUGCGAGACUAGAGUAAUGGAGGGGGAACCGGAAUGCUCGGUGUAGCAGUGAAAUGCGUAGAUAUCGAGAGGAACACUCGUGGCGAAGGCGGGUUCCUGGACAUUAACUGACGCUGAGGCACGAAGGCCAGGGGAGCGAAAGGGAUUAGAUACCCCAGUAGUC